UUCAGUUUUGUUUCUAGGGAAAUGGAUCCGAGAUCCUAUCACGAAGCUCUCAGCGUUGGUGCUUAUCAUCAGUAUACAUGACUUCUUGAUUUUGACAGUGACCGCGUUUUGGUCUACUUUCAUCUAUAUCCUCUAUAUUAACACGGCCUUUUCUUGCCAGAAACAGUCGAAGAUCCUUAACUUUGAAUGGAUUCAUUGGCCUCAAACUUCUGAAGCACUUGACUACAUGCAAAAUCUUGAUCAACCGAAAGACUGUGAUGACAAGCUGCGAAGAGAGCUUCCAAUGAUUCAAGAAGCUUUUGCCUAAGGGUCCUUGUUCUGUGUUCCAUGAAGGAGCUGCUGUUUUUGUACUGAAGGAGUGCUCUUGCCGAGUUUGGGUGGAGCAGAGGGGGUUACAUGCUCUGCAGAAGUCACGUUGCUUGAUUUAUGAGCUCAUCCACAAUGGGAAUGUCGAGUCGCACUUGCACGAUGACAUAUUCUGAUCGCUGCACUUGUAAUGACAAUAUAUCCCAAUUAUAUCCAUCACCACCUAAAACCUUUUUUCCGGUUGUUGACAAAACAGAAGGAACGCUUAUCUCCGUGAAGUAAUCCACCGUGAUUUCAAGGCUAGCUAUGUUCUCCUAGAAGAUGACGUUACCCCAAAAGUCUCUGACUUUGGACUGGCGAGAGAAGCAACCGAAGGAGGUACGUGGCUCCUGAGUAUCCAAUGACAGGGCAUC